UUAAUAGUAAUAUCUGCUCAAUGAAAAACUUUCAAUAGCCGCUAUUAGUGCUAAGGUAGCAUAAUCAUUUGUCUUUUAAAUGAAGACUAGAACAAAAGAUUUAACAUUUAAAUUAUUAUAUCAAACUUAAUAAUCAAAAUUAUCUUAAGCGCAAAAAGACGCUUAUUUAAAAGAAAGACGACAAGACCCUAUUGAACUUUACUUCAGUUAAACUGGGGCAGUUAAUCAAUUAUUAUUUUAAUUUAAAAAUAAAAAUAAAAAUCUAAUAUAAUUAAAUCAUUCAGUUACCAUAGGGAUAACAGCGCAAUAAUAUUUCUAAAGACCUUAUAUAAAAAAUAGAUUACGACCUCGAUGUUGAAUUAAUUACCUAAUUAAAGCAAAUUUUAAAAAAGGAAGUCUGUUCGACUUUUAAAAAAUUACAUGAUUUGAGUUCAGACCGGUACAAGCCAGGUCGGCUUCUAUCUACUAUAAAAAUUUAUACAGUACGAAAGGACCUAUAAAUAUAAUAUGAUUAUUAUAUUGGCAGAAAAAUGCAUUAGAAUUAGAAUCUAAUUAAACU
rnacentral:rRNA from 1 species